GUUUGGUCCUAUUUACUGAGUAUUGCUCCCUGGGUAUAUCUCAGCUUCCCCUCACAGGACUGACAGAUGCCUAAAUGUAAGAGAUUGUUCUUGUCAUGGGAGGCACUGACACAAAUUCAGCUGUGUGGGUUGUUGUCUCUGUCUGAUGUUGUCCCUUCUAAUGCUACUGAACAAAUCACCUUGCACAAGACCCUGAAGAUCAGCCCUGAGCAUGCUGAGAUUUGGGCAGCACCUGAUCAAGCCCUCGGUGGUGUUCCUGAGGACAGAGCUGAGCUUUGCUCUGGUGAACCGCAGGCCGGUGCUGCCAGGACGUAUCCUUGCCAUGCUGCUGCUCCCUGGAAGGGCAGGACACGCUCAGGACACUUGGAAGGCCAGGUAGGAUGGGACAUGGGUUUAUUCCAAGUCCAGGCAGUGAUGCUUGAUCAGAAGAUGCUUGAU
rnacentral:lncRNA from 1 species